rnacentral:rRNA from 1 species
UACGUAGGGGGCAAGCGUUGUCCGGAUUUAUUGGGCGUAAAGAGCGUGUAGGCGGCCAAGCAGGUCAGCUGUGAAAACUCGAGGCUCAACCUCGAGACGUCGGUUGAAACCGCUUGGCUAGAGUCCGGAAGAGGAGAGUGGAAUUCCCGGUGUAGCGGUGAAAUGCGUAGAUAUCAGGAGGAACACCUGCGGUGUAGACGGCUUACUGGACGGUAACUGACGCUGAGGCACGAAAGCGUGGGUAGCAAACAGG